GCCAAUAUAGCUUAACGGUAGAGCAUUCGAUUCGUAAUCGAAAGGUUAUGGGUUCAAAUCCCAUUAUUGGCU
rnacentral:tRNA from 1 species